rnacentral:snRNA from 1 species
AUACUUACCUGGCAGGGGAGAUACCAUGAUCACGAAGGUGGUUUUCCCAGGGCGAGGCUUAUCCAUUGCACUCCAGAUGUGCUGACCCCUGCGAUUUCCCCAAAUGUGGGAAACUCGACUGCAUAAUUUUGUGGUAGUGGGGGACUGCGUUCGCG